CUGAUUAAGAGCAGCCGGAGCGCAGGGUAAGAAAGAAUACGCGCAUGAGCGUAGCCGUAUAUAUAUAGAACAGCACUAUUUUAAUUCUGAGAUCAAAAUAGUCAUUUGAAUCACAGCGCGCUAUAUAGGAGAGCGAGGAGAUGUUCCCGAACUCUGUCGGAAAAAACCCGGCCGCCCACCACUCACCAACGAUCUCCCCCCUUCCCUGACCUCCCGACUCCUUUCCUCCCGUGCAUCGCCGCCGGUUCCCCUCCACCUGCUUCCAGUGCACCGCCGCCCCCUCCGUUGGCUUCCACCGCCCCGCCCCAGCCGGCGCCGCCGCCCCCAUCCCGGUCCCAAAUAGUGACGCCCCGCCUCGCC
rnacentral:rRNA from 1 species